UACGUAGGGGGCAAGCGUUGUCCGGAUUUAUUGGGCGUAAAGCGCGUGUAGGCGGCCAGAUAGGUCUGCUGUGAAAACUCGAGGCUCAACCUCGAGCUGUCGGCGGAAACCAUCUGGCUAGAGUCCGGAAGAGGAGAGUGGAAUUCCUGGUGUAGCGGUGAAAUGCGCAGAUAUCAGGAGGAACACCGAUGGCGAAGGCAGUGUCCUGGCUGGUGACUGACGCUGAGGUGCGAAAGCUAGGGGAGCGAACGGG
rnacentral:rRNA from 1 species